AGGAAUAUUGGUCAAUGGGCGGGAGCCUGAACCAGCCAAGUCGCGUGAGGGAAGACGGUCCUACGGAUUGUAAACCUCUUUUGCCGGGGAGCAACGGGGUCCUUGCGAGGUCCCAAUGAGAGUACCCGGAGAAAAAGCAUCGGCUAACUCCGUUCCAGCAGCCGCGGUAAUACGGAGGAUGCGAGCGUUAUCCGGAUUUAUUGGGUUUAAAGGGUGCGUAGGCUGUGAGGUAAGUCAGCGGUGAAAUGCCCCCGCUCAACGGGGUGAAGUGCCAUUGAUACUGCCUUGCUGGAAUGCGGAUGCCGUGGGAGGAAUGUGUGGUGUAGCGGUGAAAUGCAUAGAUAUCACACAGAACACCGAUUGCGAAGGCAUCUCACGAAUCCGCGAUUGACGCUGAUGCACGAAAGCGUGGGUAUCAAACAG
rnacentral:rRNA from 1 species